rfam:Ornithorhynchus anatinus chromosome X1, whole genome shotgun sequence.
CCCCUCUCAGGAUUGGACCUGGAGAGUUGCCAAUAUUCUACCGGUCUCAGCUACAGGAGGGAGAAUCAAACAGAGACAUACCCAUUCCAUUCCUAGCUUGGGCAGUGGCUAGGGUGUGGAAGCAAUCUGUUUCAAGU